CGUAGGGGGCGAGCGUUGUCCGGAAUCAUUGGGCGUAAAGAGCUCGUAGGCGGCUGAGUAAGUCGGCGGUGAAAUUCCAAGGCUCAACCUUGGCACUGCCGUCGAUACUGCUCUGGCUAGAGUCCGGUAGAGGAGAACGGAAUUCCCGGUGUAGCGGUGGAAUGCGCAGAUAUCGGGAGGAACACCUGUAGCGAAGGCGGUUCACUGGGCCGGAACUGACGCUGAGGAGCGAAAGCGUGGGGAGCAAACAGGAUUAGAUACCCUGGUAGUCCACGCCGUAAACGUUGGGCACUAGGUGUGGCGACCCGACCAACGGUUGCCGUGCCGAAGCUAACGCAUUAAGUGCCCCGCCUGGGGAGUACGGCCGCAAGGCUA
rnacentral:rRNA from 1 species